AGAAUGAACGUUGGCGGCGUGGAUUAGGCAUGCAAGUCGUACGGGCCACCGGUAGCAAUACUGGUGGUCAGUGGCGAAAGGGAGAGGAAUACGUAGGUAUCUACCUCCGGGUCGGGGAUAGCCACGGGAAACUGUGGGUAAUACCCGAUAACGUCUCCGGACCAAAGGUGUGAUUCCACCUGGAGAGGAGCCUGCGUCCUAUUAGCUUGUUGGCGAGGUAAUGGCUCACCAAGGCUACGAUGGGUACGGGGUGUGAGAGCAUGCCCCCGCUCACUGGGACUGAGACACUGCCCAGACACCUACGGGUGGCUGCAGUCGAGAAUCUUCCGCAAUGGGCGCAAGCCUGACGGAGCGACGCCGCGUGUGGGAUGAAGGCCUUCGGGUUGUAAACUGCUGUCGAGCUCUAGGAAUGCCGCGCUGUUAACAGCGGCGCGGUUGACCAAGGCAGAAGGAAGUGGCGGCUAACUCUGUGCCAGCAGCCGCGGUAAGACAGAGGCCACGAACGUUGUUCGGAAUCACUGGGCAUAAAGCGCACGUAGGCGGCUAGGUCCGUCCGAUGUGAAAGCCCCCGGCUCAACCGGGGAAUUGCAUCGGAUACAGCCUGGCUCGAGGACGGUUGGGGUGAGUGGAACUCCUGGUGGAGCGGUGAAAUGCGUAGAUAUCAGGAGGAACACCGGUGGCGAAAGCGGCUCACUGGACCGUUUCUGACGCUGAGGUGCGAAAGCUAGGGGAGCAAACGGGAUUAGAUACCCCGGUAGUCCUAGCCGUAAACGAUGGGCACUGGGUAGGGGGGAAGCCUAUGCUCUUCCCUGCCGAAGCAAAUGUAUUAAGUGCCCCG
rnacentral:rRNA from 1 species